rnacentral:rRNA from 1 species
UACGUAGGGGGCAAGCGUUGUCCGGAUUUAUUGGGCGUAAAGAGCGUGUAGGCGGCCAUACAGGUCAGCUGUGAAAACUCGAGGCUCAACCUCGAGACGUCGGUGGAAACCGUUUGGCUAGAGUCCGGAAGAGGAGAGUGGAAUUCCAGGUGUAGCGGUGAAAUGCGCAGAUAUCGGGAAGAACACCCGUGGCGAAGGCGGCUCUCUGGGACGGUACUGGCGCUGAGACGCGAAAGCGUGGGGAGCGAACAGG